UCAGAAAACAGUCACCUUCGCAUUUUGUGUACCGAUAAUGCGUUUAACGUUUGGCUGUAAGCCAGAUCUUGUAAUACACCUAAGGCUUCUCUCCGUCUUUACUAUGUAUUUUAAGACCAAUCAGAGGCGGUUGCUAGGCGGAGUAGAAUCGAUCGACCAAUCAACGUUUUUCUGCCAAUAUUGGCUAACGUAUGUCGUCAUUGGCUACGACGUAUCCCCUCAUUGGCCACAGCCUUCCGGGAGGAGUGUAGAGAGGCGGAGAAACGAAGUCAGCAAACAGAUUUAAACCAAAUUUGAACCAUUGCCUCUGUUUGCUAGUACUGAGAGGAAACCUCGUUACCGGAGAGAUUUGGAUGCUAAAACAAACGCUGGAACUGCUUUUUUGUUAGCACGUGUGAGACUGGACACUGAACACACCUUUGGGGCGACGGUUUACUCCUUCAGCUGCUGCAGCCUGGUCAGCUCUCACCUCACAAACCAAUCAGGUGUCACCACUAUGUCCGUGAUUGCAGAGUCUUCGUACAAUGAAGAAGUUCUUUGAGACCAGGACUGAAGCCUCCAGGUAAUUCACAAACAGCUUUUCAUCAA